AGUUCCCUCGCGUCAGACCACUCAGCCAUUCACUCUCUGCAGCUGGUCCAGGGGUGACUCAGACCACAGGGCCUGUGUUUUCCAGGGUUCUGAGAAUGGACCCCAUUGUGACCAUGUGGCUUGUCCAGAGAGGCUGGAAUUCCUGCCCUGGGUGAAAAAGCUGAAUUCCUGCGGAGAGAAGGGGUCUCAGGCUCCCCAGGCUAUGUCCCAGAGAGGCCACAUGCUCCAGACAUCACAGACCCCAGAACCCCCCGGCAUUUUGCUUGUCUCCUGAACAUCCCAGAGGGUCUCUGCUGCUGCUCUGUCCAUAGCGAAAGAACAAAGCACUGUC